UACGUAGGGUGCAAGCGUUAAUCGGAAUUACUGGGCGUAAAGCGUGCGCAGGCGGCCAUGCAAGACAGAUGUGAAAUCCCCGGGCUCAACCUGGGAACUGCAUUUGUGACUGCAUGGCUAGAGUACGGCAGAGGGGGGAUGGAAUUCCGCGUGUAGCAGUGAAAUGCGUAGAUAUGCGGAGGAACACCGAUGGCGAAGGCAAUCCCCUGGGCCUGUACUGACGCUCAUGCACGAAAGCGUGGGGAGCAAACAGG
rnacentral:rRNA from 1 species